CCCAUUGUUCUAAGGCCUCUGGAAGAGCCUUCAUCCAGCAGCUGAUGGAAGCAGAAGCAGAGAUCCACAGCUGAACACCAAGCAGAACUCCAGGAAUCCAGUGGCAGAGAGGGAAGAGUGAUGAGCAAAGGGGUCAGGACCAGACUGGAGAAACCCAUGGAAACAGCUGACCUGAACAAGGUGUUGCUCAUGGACCCUAGACUGAUAGCUGGGAAACCAGCAUAGGACUGUUCCAAACCCCCUGAGUGUGGAUGUCAGUUUGGAGGUCUGGGCAAUCUAUGGGGUCUCUGGUAGUGGAUCAGUAUUUAAUCCCUUGUGUAUGAAUGGACUUUGGGAGCCCAUUCCACAUAGAGGGGUACUCUCUCAGCCUAGACACACAGGGGAGGGUCUAGGCCCUGCUCCAAAUGAUGUGACAGACUUUGAAGGUCUCCCAUGGAAGGCCUCACCCUACAUGGGGAGCCCGAAGGAGGUUGGGAUGGAGGGGGCAGGGGAGGAAGGGAGGGAGAGGGAUUUGGGAUUGAAGUGUAAAAGAAGCUUGUUUCUAAUAAAAGAAAG
rnacentral:lncRNA from 1 species